CGCGCCUCCGGACCGGCCGACCCAUCGGCAACGACGGUGCACUGGGGUCGCGCGCGACGCGACGGCGACGAUCGUGGGUACCCAUCGCAUCGAUCCUGACGGACGGUGCAUCCGGCAGGUAGAGUCAGCGGCAGUGACACGUGACCUUACCGGGGGCGUCUCGAGGUCGAGGGAAAAGCUCAGUGCCCCAGAAAGUCCUCUGAGACUGUCAGACUCCGGUGUUGGACAGUGGUCACUCUGGAGACUGGAGGCUUUGAGCAUCAAGAAGCUAGUCGAAGAAACGGAAGGCUCUGUUUUACCGGAUUACAAGAGAUAAGUAGACUAAAGAGAACUUUCUGCUCCUUUUCUUGGUUUUUGAAGGUGGUGUAUUGAAUCGACUCUGCAGGUGAUGGUCGAACAACAUAGCAUGUAACUUUGGUGACUGUGAGAUACACUGGUCACCUAACAUCUCCCCGACGAAAAGAUUCUGCAUCGACCCGAGAUUCUGCACUACCAAAAGCAGCAAAGCUCGGGCUCUACCCGAGUUAAUAGAGCUGGUGAUCAGACCACGACCCACUGACCAGCUCAGGUCAGGCCAGGCUGAGUCAAACUGUGAAAUCGUGUGGGACAGCAAAGUGAGGACCAUGAGUCGUCUAGUCAAGUCACACAGUUUACGUAAGAUCCUCGUCAGCUACAGCGAACCGCACUAGAACGGCUGGAUACAGCCCACGCGUGAGCAGCAGGGACCAGUUCGAGGAAGCGGGGCUCGACCUUUGACAGUGACCUUUGACUUCGGAUUGCCGCAUCCAAUCCCAAUGGCCAACUGGACGUCGCCUCCAAUUCGGUUUCUGGCAGUGAUGCUGUUGAUGGGGGCAACACAUGCAGACGGAGGUUGCAAGGAUGAAGUGCUGCAUUGCUAUUCGUGCAAUAGCAUCGACGACAGUCGGUGCAUGAGCCCGUUCAACUACACUGACCGGCCACCGACAGCGCCAUGCAAGGGCUGGUGCGUCAAAAUCGUCGAAAAUAUCGACACAGAGUAUGAAAAGGUCGUCCGGACGUGUACGGAUAGGAUGCACAUCAAUCCGUUCAUAGUGGGCAACGUGUGUAUGGAAGAAAGCAGCGGACACGGAUCACUGUGCUUCUGCAAAAAGAACCGAUGUAACAAAUCCGCGACCGUCCGCCUUUCCACCUCCCUCCUGCUGGCCGCUGGCCUGGCCCGGCUGCUCGUAACGUAGUGGGCCGGCGCCGGCUGACGGGGCGUCCUGUGGACGGCGGCCCGCCAGAGGCCCCGCUCGCCUCUAGGCCCAGCGUUGGCGCCCGCAGGCCGGCACAGCCCCUGUAUAGCUGUGGUGUAGCCACGUAGCCAACUCAGCUACGUGUCAACUGAUGCUGUGAAGCAUUCAAUUGAGUGAGCUGUACAUAGACAUUAUUAAUAUCCCUGUCCAAGGUAGCAUUAUGCUAGCCUGGAUGGUUUUUGAUACACAAAGAUACUGUUGCGACUUCUUCGAGUCCUAUUCGCGCCGUCUUAGGGCGUUGAUGUUUUCUCAGUCCAAUUUACUAGUUAGGAUUUGCCCGCGAGGGCGUCAGCGCCCAUGGCACCUGUGCGCACCAUCCUGUGCCUGAAGGUGGGCCAGUUUUCACCAUCACACCUCACUCGGUGUCAGCUCUCUCUUCUGCCGGCUUUCUGUCUCUAUCCAGUGUGAGGCAAGCUUUUUAUGUGGGCUGCUCGGACGCCAGCUUCUCCCAGUCCUGGGUCCCGUUCUUCCCGUCCUAACGUUCUGCGGUGGCACUACGCACGCCGAUGCGAAGCAUCUGGCUAGCCAGUCCUUUCAUGUCAGUCACGCUGGAAAAGUGACGCUCUGAAGUGCCGUGAACGCGAGGCGUUCGGGCCACCGCCUUCCACCACUGAGGCCGGGCCAUGAUGCCCCCAGGCAUCGCCCGCGGGCCCGUCCCAGGCUGCCUCAGCUCGGCCUGGCGACAGACACAAUCAAUGGGGCACUGCGUGAUCGCGUGCUGAAAAAUGGCAACAGCGUGGAGAUGACUUUCAGAACUAUUUUCUUGAACCCACAGUUAAAGUGAUAGAAUAGCUAGUCGUACUGGAAUGGAAUGAUGCACAGCACCAUUCCUAAUGUUUUUUUUUCUUCAGAAUAUGUUGUCAAAUAGUUCUGAGGGGACGUUCAAGGAAAGUCAUGUUUACAGUUAGUGCCAUACAGCACGUCUAACGCUUAGAGCGACUGAACUAAACGCAAACUCGUAUUUCUGGCACUAAACCGGAUCUUGCCCGAGAUCGGCAUUGUGCACAGCUUCAGCACGGCAUUUCAAUGUGCAAAUGGAAGAGUCGGAACGCGCGCGCUUUCCGUGGCCUUUCGGACUCCCUCCUUGGCGCACUGUGUGGUCCAUGUUAGGCUGCUGCUCAGGUCUUUCUCUGCGCGCGGAGCCUGUUGGGUGCUGUGGGGUGCGGUCUGCGCUCGGUUCGGCCGGCCCCGCCGGGUGCAGUGGCCGCCGCCAGCCGAGCUGGUGCCGCCUGGAAGGGGCGCGCGCGGCGGCCCGGCCGGGCCCGGUCGCGCCGGUCCUCCUUCAAAGGCUGAGGGUCGGCGCGCGCGGACCCAACAGCGGCUCUGGCUCGCUGCUUUUCGUGCAUCCGAUGCCCACUAGUGUACUGGCGUUGAAGUGAAUCACACAGGGCUUACCGAGGGGCGUUCGCCGGUGGCUGAGCUCGUGCUGAGCCGCCGGCGGACCUCCCGCCGCCUGGUGACCUGAAACUGUGUAGCGCUCGUCUGUCACUCUCUCUAUCUAUCUGCUCUAUACUACUCCGUCUCUGUUGUAACUCGCUUUCUGUCUGUGUACUUGGUUCUGUUUCUCCGGAGGGCUUGUGUCUAGAGCGAACCGUCCUACCCUGCAUGAGCCCUGUAAUCACCCGCCACACGCUCUACUGAGUGAGCUGCAGCUUUUCGCUUAUCUGUCUCUCUUCUCUAGCUCGUCUCUUUCUCUAGCUCUCUUUCUGCGUAGCAAUUCUUCCUACGUCUGGCAUUGUAAGAGCAUGCGUAUUACACCCUAGGUUGGUGAUGUAACCGAUUGAGAGAACAUGUUUGUACGUAUUCUUAUCGUUUCGUAUGUCGUUCGUUACGUCCUGUUUCCCUAAGGCUACUUGUUCCCCGUUAUGAAACGUCUUGAACCUGUUAGCGCCUUUCAUUCCAUAUGAAUGCUUGUUGUUAGGAAAGUGAAUAUGACUGAAGCUGAUUCUAAAUUGACACGGAUUAAUUUUAGUAAUGACAUAAACAUCGGCUGUCGACCGUUCGGAACAUUAAAUUAUACGCUCGGCAAUAUGACCAGAGAAUUAGCAACAUGAGGAAAGCUACUGAAAAAGAAUAGUUUUACACGAAAAUGAUAGGUUAACGAAUAUGAAAGGUUUAUUUUGUAAGAACGGUAUUCGAAAACAACUAAUCCGGAUCAUUGGCAACGUUGGAAAAAUGUUCAGAAAUUUCCGGAAACGUAACACUUUUUAAAACAGACACCAAUCAUAAAUCUUCAUUAAUAUUUGUUCCACUCAAAAUUGUUAGGCCGAUGUGGAUUAGCGAAACACAGGCGUGCGCGACGCUCAUGCCCUGAAUUAUCUAUCGUCUAUAAUGGACAAUCGCACUAGUCUUUAUCCUCCUCACUGUAGACGUAACAUUUUACAAUCCAAUCUCAUAUGCCUUCCUAUAUGAUAGACACUUGCCACUGUGUCAUGACGAUCAUUGUGGCUAUCUUUUAUUAUCGAGUAAUGUCCUUCCACCAGGGCUAUAGCGGGUUAGCUUCCUCAUGCAUUGUAUUUACCUGUUAAUGUAUUUUAUCGCGUCUGCAGUAUCGGGCUAGGGCUUGUUGCCACUGGCUGAUCCUGCUCGCCUGACCGCCUUUUUCUGAAGCGGCCUCUGUCUCACUGUUCCUCACCAACCGAAAUAAGUUGAGCUCAUUUUGUUUUGCGACGGCCCAUCGUGGUGCCUAUAUCGCGGCGUUCUGUUCAUCUGAUUUUACAGGGGCGUAGUUUCACAACGAUAUUGGGGAGAUUUCGUUUUGGGAAAGGAAACUUAUCGUUUCAGCUUUAUUGAAUAUAGUUAUUACUGAUAUUAGACACACAUAUUCCCAUUUCUCACCAUUUCUCAUAGAGCGGAGGCACCCCAAAAUCGGGUGUUGAAGCCACACCCCUGUCGCCGGUUUGGGGAGGUGCCGUCACUGUUCUGCGCUGCGCUGCCUGGCUGUCCAGCUGCGCUGCCGCCUUGGUUGCCAGCUUGUGCACCGGCACGCUCAGCAGCCGAGCCGCACUCGCAUACCUACAUUUAGGUGUCGAGUCGGGGCACUCCCGGGCCCGGCCAGUAUCUUGUUCAGCUCGCGUGAUAUACUGUAAUUUUGUAAGCCUUGAUGUGAUAAUGCGUAUAUCAUCGUUGGCUUGUGACAAAAGGUGAAUGUUAGGGAGUGGCUCAAGGUGCAAUAUAAGUCGACUGCCUAUGACCUGAAUGCCUGUUGUGUUUACGUUGUGAAUAUGCGCCACCCGGCACCUCUUUACCGGCAGGAGGCUCGACAAACAUCGAUAGUUUCGUCCCAGGAGGGUGGGAGCCACAGGCUUUGAGCAUUAAUCAGGGGGUAUUACCUUACACAAACAGCUUUAUUACCUUUCAAACAGCUAGAAUCUCAAAAUUUCUAUUUGUUGUUGGGUAUAUGGAGAUGAUAAAAUAUUUCCAAACUGCUAACCGUUUUGGCCAGUAUAGCGUUUAUGGAUAGCAAUGAAUUAACUGACAGAUAACGUACUGAUGAACACAUUUUCUUUUAAUGCACAAUGCACAUCUAGGCUAACUAUCCUCAAAAAUAAUCUGGAAGUAAUCUAAAAUGGUUUCAACCAUCAAUAAGAGAUAGGAACGUCGAAGACAAUUCACAUUCUUUCAUCAUAGCACAGCGUAAUAAAAUGCCUUCUUACGGCACCUUAUUCACAUCGCUAUUGCUAAGCUGGAGAUCCACUAAAGCAUGUCCAUUGUGAAGCUUCAUAAUUGCACAGCGGACCGCAACAUGCACUUUUGAUCAGACAAAGAGAAGCUUAUCCUCAUCCCUGCUAAUGGCUUAAUGACGCGCUAAUUAGAGCACGUUUUUGUUUGCGAUCUAAUACACUCGCGACGAAGCGUCUUUUCGUCCUCACUUUGGCUGAGAUCAAAAGCUCUUGGCAAAUAUUCAUUUGGCUGAAGCUGUUGCCCAUCCCUCUAAGAGCUACCGACGCAUCCCCGUGGGAGGUCGUGGGAGGGGGGGGGGGCGUCUUAUGGAUACCGUCCUGGGCUUCUGACACCGCCUGUAGAGACAUGGGAAUCAUGGGUAGCGGGGUGGGAGAAGUGACUCUGCCCAACAGGAACAACAAUGUCCCACAUUCUACGAGAAACCGGUGCAGUCCCGGGGCCAGAGGAACGGCGCCUCGAGACUUCAAGGAGAUCGGGUCCCCGAGGGACCGGUCCGGUCUCUGGUCCGGACCUCUCGGGCUCGGCUCGAGUCUCGGUCCCCGGACCACGGACGGAGCAGACUCCGAUCGAAGGCUCCACGAGACCAGCUAUCAUUGGAACAGCUCCAGCCUCCUGAACCAUCGGAAGUCCACUGAGGACUCAGAAAAGUCUGCAUUCACUCUCCAAGUUCGGGCGAUGGCAGUCGCCCAUCAGUUCGGAGCCGCAACGACAGAGAGAGUGCUUGAAGGGAGAGAGCAGCGAGUCAGCGCUCUCUCCUCUCCACCGGAGCUGCAUCUGACGUGACCGACCGACCGCCACGCCCACUCACAAGACCACGCCCACUCCAAUUGGCCGGCGCUGGUGGCGGUCUCCCGUUCGCUCCUGCUCUCGUCUCUACGCCGCCCGUCGGGCUCUCUCCUACGGCAGUCGCUCAACGCCUGAUGGAGUGGUAUUUCUUCGGUCGAGCAGUCGGCAGAGCUGACCAGGCUUGGCAGUAUCCCGUCGGUGGCUGGUGAGAGGGAAUCUCACCGACAACGCCCUGUGCUGAGGAAGUCGGUCGUCUUCAGAAACCGUCCACAUCAGAGGAGGCAGCUGCUUCAGCGAUGACAUCAAUGAAUCACAGAGCGAGCAGACGUGGCACUGAUGUCAGGUGCUGAGCUCUGUCAUCAUUCUUAUCGCUUAAAGACAUUCAAUCUCAUUUCAAGCGGCUCGACCAGCGGAGCGUUUUGCAACUGGUGGACUGAAAUCGUGGUAUAAGUGUAUUGGUAUUACGUUGUAAAAUACACGUUUCGGUGCUCACAAAGAACGAUGCAAUGCAGUGCAAGCCCGUUGUUAGAAAGAUGGAAUCAGCUACAAGAUAUGGUAAAAGAUGAUAUUAACCCACGGUACUGGCUUCAAAGUUUGUGAAACUAAGAAACCGUUUAAUGCGGUAUAUGGAUCACAUAAUGUGCAUUAGCAAGUUAAUGUUUCAUUACCGUGUAUAAUUUUGGGUCAAAACUUUGUUACCACCGAUAGGUUACUGUUGUGUCUAGGCUGCAGAUUCGUAGGCUGACGUAUUUGCCCGGGACCGUGCGAAUGUCAUUUGGUGAUGUGGUGCCCAAAGCACUGCUAGCCGGUACACGAAUAAUUCACACCAGCCCGUACCAAGCUGCCAAUGUGAACAGUAAUUCUGCUCUUAUUGACUGCGUGGGAGCUGCCGCAUAAGUUGGAUUUGCUUAUUUUUCUUCGUGCUGGACUUGUUGACUCCUUUUCGCAGUGACUUUUCGGUAAAAUAAUGUAUGACGGCGCAUUGUAUCUGUAGUCUGUACACUGGUGUUGUGUGUGGCUAAGCUCUAUAAACGGUACCUGUAUUUGUAUUUUGAAUUGCAUUUCGUGAAGGACAUGACAGCUCUAAGUCCAUGCAACCGUGGCUCUAGCUAAGGAUCAAAGGAGGGGCCAGGGCCCAUCCACCGCAAUAGGCUUGAUGUUAAAACGGGGUCUUCAAGGGGUCCACAUGCUUCCCUGAUGGCCAGUGAAUGUGAGCUAGCUCGUAGCGUUGUUUCUUGUUUUAGCGUCGGUCUACAAGCAUCCAUACUACCGUACUUGACCAUGGAUAGUUAUUACCAAAAGUAAAGCUUCGAUAGCAGCUGUACUAGUAAAGUACUUACCUACCGAUACCUUGCGGUCUCCAACCGAGCUUCAAACUGAUAGUUAAUCUUACACUUGCUGGCAAUAUAUGCCCAACUUUCAAUGCUAAAGUAUCAGUGGGCGCCCCAUCGCUCGGGUCACCUGCCCUACCGCUAGUCAUGACCCGCCCAGUGACCCACAAGCGUGUCGAGUGUCGACUGUGAGUGAGGAUCGACUGUGAGUGGGUGUCAACUGUGACACCCAGUGAGGAUCGAAUGUGCCGCGAUUGAGCGCGUCUCGGCGUGACACCAACACGGUACUAGUCUAGACAAUUCGUCAGUAUAUUGACUGUUAUCGGCUGAAGUGUAACUUGUCCAGCUUGAUGCCAAAUACAAAAUUGACGAAA